AUUGAACGCUGGCGGCAGGCCCAACACAUGCAAGUCGAACGGUAGCACAGAGAGCUUGCUCUCGGGUGACGAGUGGCGGACGGGUGAGUAAUGUCUGGGAAACUGCCCGAUGGAGGGGGAUAACUACUGGAAACGGUAGCUAAUACCGCAUAAUGUCGCAAGACCAAAGAGGGGGACCUUCGGGCCUCUUGCCAUCGGAUGUGCCCAGAUGGGAUUAGCUUGUUGGUGAGGUAAUGGCUCACCAAGGCGACGAUCCCUAGCUGGUCUGAGAGGAUGACCAGCCACACUGGAACUGAGACACGGUCCAGACUCCUACGGGAGGCAGCAGUGGGGAAUAUUGCACAAUGGGCGCAAGCCUGAUGCAGCCAUGCCGCGUGUGUGAAGAAGGCCUUCGGGUUGUAAAGCACUUUCAGCGGGGAGGAAGGCGAUACGGUUAAUAACCGUGUUGAUUGACGUUACCCGCAGAAGAAGCACCGGCUAACUCCGUG
rnacentral:rRNA from 1 species